CCUCUUCCUGCUAAAUAGAACCGCUCACCUUGGUGUGCGGCGUCUUCUUAGAGGGACUAUCUAUGUUUAAUAGAUGGAAGUUGGAGGCAAUAACAGGUCUGUGAUGCCCUUAGAUGUUCUGGGCCGCACGCGCGCUACACUGAUAAAGUCAGCGAGUACAUUACCUUGACCGGAAGGUCUGGGCAAUCUUUUGAAACUUUAUCGUGAUGGGGAUUGACCAUUGCAAUUAUUGGUCAUGAACGAGGAAUUCCUAGUAAGUGCGAGUCAUCAGCUCGCGUUGAUUACGUCCCUGCCCUUUGUACACACCGCCCGUCGAUACUACCGAUUGAAUGGCUUAGUGAGACCUUUGGAUCAGGCCUGCUCUUGUAGUGGGACCGAGAAAUUGGUCAAACUUGGUCAUUUAGAGGAAGUAAAAGUCG
rnacentral:rRNA from 1 species